GCGCACCUUUCACAGCAUAGAUCUAUUAAAUAGAUAAGAAAAACAAAGUCCAGACUUGGUGUUAUUGUUAAACUUUCGUCAUAAGAAGCUUCUGUUUUCUUCAUUUCAUUUCUUUAGGGUUAAAAAACUAUUCAGCAACCCAGAGGUUGUUAUUAUUUUUUCAUUGUUUAUAAUUUUAGUUAAAAUAUUAUAUUAUCUCCCAACAUGUUUGUCACUUUCUGCUUACCAAGCUUCGAACUACGUGAACUUUGAAUAUCUUUUUUUAUGUUUAUUAUUUGAUAACAGAAAUCUGCGAGGGUUAUUGGUGUGCAAUAAGAGAUAACUGACGAAAGACGUGAAGGAAGUAUAUCAAAACUCAAAAGUACAAACUCUAGCAUCCCCAUAUAUUUCAUGUUGUUGCAGACACCUGGUGAAGUGACAGAAAGGUUAAAAUGACCAGGUAAAUUUUCUAUGCAAUACAUCAGAUGAAAUUAGAAAGUUUCACUUAGUGAAUUGGAGAAUUGUCACCAUCUUCGAAGGAAUGGGGACGAUUCGGUGUGAAAGCUCUGCUCUUCAAUAAGCAUAGUUCAGGAAGUGGUUAUGGAGGAUUGGGGUGGAGGUGAAAAUAUGUUGUGGAGGGGUGCGAUGGCGAAAAAUUAUGACAUUAUGGAAGGUAGGUGGAGGCU
rnacentral:lncRNA from 1 species